rnacentral:rRNA from 1 species
UACGAAGGGGGCUAGCGUUGCUCGGAAUCACUGGGCGUAAAGCGCACGUAGGCGGGUCUUUAAGUCAGGGGUGAAAUCCUGGAGCUCAACUCCAGAACUGCCUUUGAUACUGAGGAUCUCGAGUCCGGGAGAGGUGAGUGGAACUCCGAGUGUAGAGGUGAAAUUCGUAGAUAUUCGCAAGAACACCAGUGGCGAAGGCGGCUCACUGGCCCGAUACUGACGCUGAUGCACGAAAGCGUGGGGAGCAAACAGG